rnacentral:sRNA from 1 species
AAUUUUGAAUCAAUUGGAGAAAAUGUUGUUAAAUCAAACGAGAACACCGACAAUGAAAACAUCAGUCCAGUCGAACAGAAAGACGAGGCUUAGUAGAUGGUGCGGAGUACUCCACACCCAAUGUGAUUAAGACGAGUGAGAACAAAAACAAUUUUUUGCAAGUGUUCAUCGGAAUUCUAACGAAAUGUCAACAUAUUCUGAAGGCAAGGAAGAAAUCCACGAAGAUACAAAAAAUGACAGUUUUUUAGAACAGCAGAACGGAAACAAAGAUAAUGAUUGGGAAUGUUCAUAUUAAACUGAGAAAAUACUAUUAUUUAUUAAUUAAAAAUAUUUAAUCAUCCCCAGAUCAUUUAUUUGUCAAAAAAUUGGUUCUGAAAAUAACAAUACGGAAACUUUGAUUAAGUGAUGUUGCUUUGUAACACAUAUGUUAAUAUGAUAUAAAGGAAUGUUCCAUUUAUUGUAAAGGCAUUAAAUAUACUUAUUACAUGAAGGUGUUUGACUUGCUGCACCACAUAACAUAAUUGAUGUUUUUCAUUUAAAUUCGUAUUUUAGUUAAGACUGAAUUGUUUACAUAAUUUUUUUUUGUUUAACAAGAAAGUAUAAUUAAACAAUUAAAAGUCU